rnacentral:lncRNA from 1 species
CUCAUCAGCCUCCACAUCAAACCUGGUCUUCUUCCUUUCUUCAUGUGGUCAUGACUGAUUUCCUCUGCACAAGCCAGAAUCUAUCUAGCCCAUUAAGCGAAGGCUCUAUGCCAUCCACAAGGCUGACUGCCUUUUAAACACAGAACAUCCGUCUUCCCUACCAUUGUGUGCCUAGCUCUGUGUCUAAUUCCAGGAAUGCCUAAAGCAAACUUACUUCACCAUUUCCACAUUCCACUACCACAGACCCCAGGAUCUGGACCGCCAGGCGUAUCUUCCUUGGAGAGUCUGCUUCUCAUAGGAGAGUCCUUCUCAUCCUUGCAGUGCCUGGCUCAAGCAGCUCCAAGGAUGACGGCACCACUGCAGAUUGUACGAGAUGAGCGUCAGCCAUCACCGCUCACCAUGGGCCUGACUUGCCCGGCCUCCUUGAACCGAUGAGGGUGGUUCAAGCUUCACUCCAGCUUCAAGUGAGUGCACUUGUCUCCAGUUCUCCAUAACAGCAUGUCUGGCUCGUGAGCAAACGAAGAAUCCCCAGGAAACAAAUACAGUUCUGUAGCAGAUUUUAC